GAUGAACGCUAGCGGCAGGCUUAAUACAUGCAAGUCGAGGGGCAGCAGGUUUGUAGCAAUACAAAUGCUGGCGACCGGCAAACGGGUGUGGAACACGUACGCAACCUCCCUUUAACUGGAAGAUAGCCCACCGAAAGGCGGAUUAAUACUCCAUAAUAUAACUGAAUGGCAUCAUUUAGAUAUUAAAGCUCCGGCGGUUAAAGAUGGGCGUGCGUCUGAUUAGGUAGUUGGCGGGGUAACGGCCCACCAAGCCUGCGAUCAGUAGCUGAUGUGAGAGCGUGAUCAGCCACACGGGCACUGAGACACGGGCCCGACUCCUACGGGAGGCAGCAGUAAGGAAUAUUGGUCAAUGGACGCAAGUCUGAACCAGCCAUGCCGCGUGGAGGAUGAAGGCCCUCUGGGUUGUAAACUUCUUUUCUUUGGGACGAAACCCCUGUUUCUACGGGGACUGACGGUACCAGAGGAAUAAGCACCGGCUAACUCCGUGCCAGCAGCCGCAGUAAUAC
rnacentral:rRNA from 1 species